GACGAACGCUGGCGGCGUGCCUAAUACAUGCAAGUAGGACGCAGUUGCGAACGGGUGAGUAACGCGUAGGUAACUACCUAUUAGAGGGGGAUAACUAUUGGAAACGAUAGCUAAUACCGCAUACUAGUAGAUGGACCUGCGUUGUAUUAGCUAGUAGGUAGGGUAAUGGCCUACCUAGGCAACGAUACAUAGCCGACCUUGGGGGGUGCUCGGCCCCACUGGGACUGGGACACGGCCCAUACUCCCACGGGAGGCAGCAUGUGUGACACUUCGGCAAUGGGGGGAACCCUGACCGAGCACCGCCGCGUGAGUUAAGAAGGUUUUCGGUUCGUAAAGCUCUGUUGUUAAGGAAGCGGUACUUAACCAAAAAGGGACGGCUAACUACGUGCCAGCAGCCGCGGUAAUCC
rnacentral:rRNA from 1 species